AAGAAUACGCUCAUGACAAAUGAUCAUAUAAUAAUAAUUUAAAUAGUACUUGUAUUUAUUUUUUCAAGAAGAAAACUUAGUUGAAUGAAAUUUGACUUAAAAUGAUAUAAAGGGUUUGAAUGGUAACCAUUUUAAUAACAAUACAGUUUUGUACCGUUUUGACAGUUACCAAUCACAAUUUUUUUAUCAAAAACGUUACAAAAAGUGUUUUACUCUCAGCUUUUUUUAUACAGUUCCUUUUAACAGCUUUGUACUAUUCCGAUAAAGCUAACAAAUAAAAAUUUUGUACAGCUUUUGGUUACCAAUAAAACCCAAAGUCUUACAAAAAAGGUCUUACGCGUCCACGUUAGCUUUCCAAUCCAACCCUUAAUUAGAAGUCUUCACCAUUUGCUGGUUA
rnacentral:sRNA from 1 species